AAAACCUUAAAUUUUAACUCAUUAUCUUCCCCUUUCUCUAUAGCAGCCGCCACCUCUACUCUCUCCUCUCCAUUCGCGCUGGCGAGAGCAGCCACCGGCGACGCCCGUCUACUCUUCUACGCUCCUCUCCCGUUGCUCUUUCUCUCUCCUCCCUCCUUCUCCUCUCUCACCCCUCUCUCCACUCGCGUCUCCUCAUCCCUAGCGAGAGCAGCAGCAGCUCCAGCGAGCUGCACCAGGCGGCGCCGCUUUUUUCUCCUCUCCUUUUUUCCCUCCUCUCCUUUCUCUCCUCCCCUCUCCUCCUUUGCUCCAUCCUCCCUUCUCUCUUUCUUUGCCGAUACAGCAGCGCCAAAUGAGCAGCAAGGACCAGCACCUCUAGUGCUCCGACAAACAGCAGCAGCAGACGAGAAUAAGCAGUGAACAACAAAUGAUGGACUGAGGCGAGUCCCUCUCUUCUACGCUUCAUUUUUUCGGCAGAGCUAUGAGAGGGGAAAGUUUGCAAAGUCGUGAUCAAGAAGGAGGAGAAACGGGGCCCUAGUGGAAGCAAGGAGGCAAAGAUCAGCGUUAGCAACUGGACCUCGAAUCCAUCCCGACCUCGUCAAGAAUCUGGAGAGUAAAGCAACCUACGCAAAAACAGCUCCAAUAUCGCUCUAAGUACAACAAAUCGCAACUUGAAGGCAAGUUUUCCAACAAGAGGAAUGCCCAAGCUAUCGUUCGCCCUAAAGCAACUGUUGUGGUGGCAAAUUAUAUUCUGCACGAUAUUGCAUCAGUUGAACCUACGCUCGAUAUCUCAUUAUGCUCAAAGAAAUGCAUCAUUAUAUUAUCCUCCAGACCACAUAAAUGCAUCAUUUCAUGUGCUCGAUAUUGCAUGUGCCCAAUAUUGCAUGUGCCCGAUAAAAUGCAUCAUUGCAUGUGCUCAAAGAAAUGCAUCAUUGCAUUGUUCCCGAUAAUGCAUGUGCCCGAAGAAACGCAUCAUUUCAUGUGCCCGAUAUUACAUGUGCGUGAAGAAAUGCAUCAUUGCAUGUGCUCGAUAUUGCAUACGUAUGAAGAAUCGCGUUAGUUCAUGUUCCCAAAGAAAUGCAUCAUUGCAUUGUGCCCGAGACUGCAUUAUGCCCGAAGUUUACAUAAGCCCAAGAUUACAUCGUGCUCAAAGUUUGCAUGUGCCUGAAUCAAAUGAAGUCACAAGUAUCAACAGAUGCCAAAAACAGAUAGGCUCUCUUUACUCAUUACUUAUAUUCCAAACGCGUCAUACUCCAAAGGUAUCAUCUUUCAUGGCCUACGGACUUCAUGUCAUGGCCUGAGGACUUAUUUUAUGCAUAGAAUGUUCCUAAGGCAUCAUCCUCAUGGACUGCAGACAUAAUAUGAUGGCCUAAGGGUUUAGUUUCUGUCUAUCAUGAUCCGAAGGUGUCAUAGUUUAAAGGCGUCAUUUUCAUGUCCUACAGACAACAUUUACAUGACUUGAGGAUACACUUUGCAUAUCAUGGCUCUAGAAAUCAUAGCCUAAGAUGUCAUUUUUCGUGGUCUUAUGGCAAACAUUCAUGAUCAACAUGGGAAUUGCAUCAUGCUUACAUAUACCUCUUAAUUUUGAUAUAUUUGCUCUAAUCGCUUUAGUUAAGUCAUAUUACAAGUUACAGAUGUGCAGAUUACAGGUAAAAUCAAUCGCUCUCUGAACGACCGUUUUCACGCUUGCAAACAAAGGCUAUCAAAUUCUCGGCCACUCACAUUAUCAUUCGGCUACUCGGCUACCGUUCAGACUACCAUAGAGAUAUUGUCAGACUCAACUCGCUACUGUGACCAACUGUCUCUUCAUGUUUUGAACUUAGAGUUCAAGAUGUUGAAGACUUACUUAGAAUAAAUUGUGGACGAAGCCUCGUUCAUUUUUAUUGUUAUAUAUACAUAUGAUUAGCUUUUUAUUUUUACUUGUAAUAUUUUUACAACUCUUUAACUCUCUCUAUA